AUCCUCGACUGCACUUCUAAUAUAAAUAUGUUCCUCUGUUCCAUUAAGAUCAUAGAUGGUGUAAAUCCAAGCAGUGUUUCUCCUGAUGUUGUGUCCCACGUUGCCUUCAGUGUUCAGCUGAGAGCAGAGAAAUCAUUUCCAUAGAGAGGAGGCUUUGCAUGGUCAGCUGAUCCUCCAGUGAACUGAGAAGGUUUAUAGUCCUGUGAGUUCAACACUGCAGGACUCACAUCUGUCAGUCAACACAGCAGAAAGCACAACCACCAUGACUCUCAUCACCAUCCUCAUCUGGACGCUGGCCUGCUGCUGUUUUACAGGAUGCAGCGGUCAGGUGACUGUGACUCAGCCUCCAGUAGUGACAUCUGCUCCAGGAUCCACUGUCACUCUCACUUGUAAAGUUAGCCAACCAGUUUACAUCUGUGGUGGUGUAAAUUUAUGUAUGUUCUGGUAUCAACAAAAAGCUGGACAGAGUCCGAAGCUCCUGAUAAGACAUUUAAACACACUUCAUUCAGGAACACCAGCUCGGUUUAGUGGCAGUGGAAGCGGGAGAGACUUCACUUUGACCAUCAGUGGAGUUCAGGCUGAAGAUGCAGCAGUUUAUUACUGUAAGAGUGUACACAGUGGCCCAGUGUACACUUUUGGUGGAGGAACCAAACUCGUCGUUGACUUGGGUGUGGUGCAGCCCACCCUGACCGUCCUCCCCCCCUCCAGAGAGCAGCUGCAGCAGGGAGAUGCCACACUGGUGUGUCUGUCCAGCGGGGGCUUCCCCUCCACCUGGAGGCUGGGCUGGAAGGUGGGGGGCAGCAGCAGCUCCUCAGGGGCGUCACACAGCCCGGAGGUCCUGGGGACGGACGGCCGCUACAGCUGGAGCAGCACCCUGAGCCUCUCUGCAGACCAGUGGAGGAAGGCGGGCUCAGUCAGCUGUGAGGCCAGUCUGAAUGGACAGAGCCCCGUCACUCAAAGCCUGGAGCCUGAGCGCUGCUCAGAGUAGAGCUUCAGCAACACUUCCUGUCUGGAGAUGAUGCUGCUGCUUUCAUAGAGAUCCUGAUGAAGCUCCAGAUCUCCUCUGUUCACAUGUUUCUGCAGGUUUCACAGCUCUCUGCUCAGUGUUUCAGUCUGCAUGUUGCUGUCUAAUACUGAUCUUCUGCAUAUUCUUCUUCUUCUUCUUUACUUUCAAACUGAAUAUGAUCAGUUUCACUCCAAGAGAAACUUCAUCUAUGAACUAUCAUUUAAUAAAACAGUGAAUAAUAAAAGAG